rnacentral:lncRNA from 1 species
CGCAUCGCAGCCUCCGCGGGCCAGCUUCUGGGGAGCCCCCAGAGAGAACAACAGCAGGCUGCAGAGGCAGCCGCCAGGGCCGCGGAGGAGGAGGCCAGACGGAGGGGGCGCCUGGCAGGCGAGUACGCAGCAGCCCUCGGUCACCAGCUGGUGCUCCUUCGCCAAGACCUCCGUGCAAGGCAGGAGCAGUGGGGCUCCUUCUGCUCGGCGCUGAUGGCCGCUCGGCGGCUGCUGAAAGCACAUUCAGGCUCCAGGCCCGCAAAGUCCUCCCAGGCUGGGCAGAACCCAGAAGGGGAAGUCCCCCAGCUGGACGCUCUUCUGGGCAGCCUGUCCCAGGUCGUGCUGCAGGAGGGCCACCGCCUGAAAGCCUG